UCCUUCGCAAUUUGCUCCGCGGCAGCAGCCCGAGUCUUCUCUUCCUCCGCAGCCCGACACACGUCGGCGGCCAGAAGGUCACGCUCACGCUUGACCGCGUCCAGCUCGGUCCUCACGGCAUCAAGGUCGGUCUGCACGACAUCAAGGUUGGCCCUCGAGGCAUCAAGGUCGGCCCUCGAAGCGGCAAGGUCGGCUUUCG
rnacentral:lncRNA from 1 species